CAGGAAGCUGUUCCACCUGCCAGCACCUCGAGCUUGGACUUCCAGCCUCCACGGCGAGAGAGAAGCUCCCCAGGACCUAUAAUGUCCAUUACUUAUUCAAAAGAAAUGACCACAAAUGAACGAUCACAGCCCCAAAUGAAUAAAACAGACCAGCACAGAAUCCCAAGGCUUUCUUCUUUGUCUUAUUUUGUCCGAGACCAAAAAACUUCUGUCCAGUCCGGGCCCCGAGGAGCAGGUAGGCGUUCAGAGCCACUGGGCCAAGGAAGAAAACCCAAACUCUAGCGUAACUCACAAGACCACAGUCUUUGUGGGCAGGGACGGAGAACAGGACAAGGUAACAAGGGAUCUGGGCAAGAGAAGGAGGAAUUCGUACAAAAAGAAACACCACAGUGGCUCCUUAGAACAGCGUGUUGGAGGAAUCAGAGAAGACAGCCCAGAAGGGAGCCAACAAGGCGUUUGCCCAGUUCAGGGAAGGAAAAGAUAAACAGAUGAAAGCUGAUAAGAGGACGUUGGUGGAAAUGAGUGACGGUAUCUUAGUAACUCGCGGAAGGAUGGCGGCCAACAAAAUCAGAUCUGUCAGAAAUUAGUGGCGAAAGAGAAAUCUCAUAAUGUUUGAAAAUAGAGAUAAUGUUCUAAAAUCACAGUUGACCUACAGAAACCGGGAGCGGGCAGCGGAGAGUGGAAAAUUAUUUAACAUUAUUCGUCUCAUUUUACAUAAAUGCCAUUUCAUUCCUGACCUUGAUAAUCACAGAGACUUGACUAUCCUUUAUUUAAAGGCUAGUGUUAGGGUAACUAAAACCUCUUCGUGAGAGAGAACAAGUGGGCAAGUGUCUCUCUGUAAAGGGUAUUGAAUAGCGGACACGGGGAAGACAACCAAACGACCUCAGACCCGACGAGAGGAAGAACGCAGAGCGGAUUUGCCGUGGGAAUGGACGCUGGCGUAGGGUCCAAGGACAGAGCACGGAAUCCAGCUGUACACCAUCUACAAGGGACACACCGAGAGCAACGUGACGGCCCCAGGGUGGAAACCCCCAUGUCCCUCGUUGGAGGAGGGGAGAAAGGGAAUGUGGUCCGGCCACGCGACGGCGUGAACUACUGAGCCACGCCGUAACGUGGAUGGACCUUGAGACCGUGAUGCCGGGUAGAAGAAGCCAGACCCAGAAGGACAAAGGUGGUAGGAUCCCACAGAUCCGGGCUGCCCAGAAUACGUAAACCCAGAGACAGAGAGGAGCCUGGAGAUGACAGAGGUUACCGGAGCCAGAGGAGGGAAGACAAGGAGGUAAAAAGCUUCUGUUCAGGAGGAUGAAGUUCCGGAGAUGGACGGUGGUCAUGGUGGGACGCACCCACGAAUAUACUAACCUCCACGCACGGUUAACCUGAGGCAUCCCAGAGGCUGUGUCCCUUUCCUGGGGUUGCCUUAACAAAGCAGCCCAACCCGGGGGCACAGCUGAAAACGACACAUGGAUCCUGGGGACCCGGGUCUAAAAUCGAGGUGUGAGCCUGCCUUUUCCAGCUCCGGAUGCUCCUGCAAUCCGUGGCACUCCGUGGCUGGCAGCCGCGUGGCCCGCCUCUCGGCUCCACGGUCUCACGAACCUCUCCCGGUGUCUUCAUACAAGGUCGCAGGGACACCAGCCCAGGGCCCACCUUACCAACCUCAUCUUAACUCAGUGAUGUCGACAAGGACUUGAACUUGUCUUUUGGGGGACACAGUUGAGUCUGUAACAGGUGCUUUCUGCAGAGUGGUUGGUCAAGGUCCCUCUUGGCUUUUAAAAGGGGAUAGGAGUCCACAUCUGUUUGGAGAACAGCCUUUGCUCUCCUCCCAGGCGAAACGCCCGUGGGCUGCUGCUUUUCCCUAUGGUGCUCUGUCAGUGUCUAGUGCCCGAAGGCAUAGAUCCCCGAAGCACACUUUGAGAACCGCUGAAAUCACCGCUAGGUAAUGAGCUUGCCCUCAGACCUGGUCUUCCAAAGCUCACUACGCCGCCGUCACUAAGGUAGCUCCAGCCAGAGUAUCCCCGGGGUCUCCAUCAAGCGCAGACUCCUGGCUCCAACCCCAGAGACUCUAACCCAGCUGGCCUUAGGGUGGGAGUUGGGGGGCAAGGGUGAUUCCUGACAUCAGGGCAAGUUUGAAAAUUUCCCCGGAUCAUAGCCAGUUGCAUGCUGGGCCCCGCCACCUGGAAGUCAUCCAGUCCUUCUGCUGGGUAUUUCCAAGCCAAGCUCAUAAUCUCGUGCCUUCAAACCUUGCACAUAUUCCUCUGCCUCUGGCCCCACAUUCACCCAGUUCUCAGGCCCCGUACUUUGGAGACUGGUCAGCCCUACCUGGUCAGUUGCCGGCACGUACCCAGACUCUCUCCCGAGCAUGUCUCUGGUCUGAUUCUCCUUGGUAUUCCUGUUUCUGUCACCUUGGCUUAGGCAUUUAUCAGUUUUUGCCAGGACCCGUGCAGUAGCCUACCAACUGACUUUCUUUCCUUCAGUCUGGCCCUUUCCAGUCUGUUCGCUCUAUUAUUGCUCUUCACCUCCUGCCCCAUUUCUCCAACUUUAUCAGCUACAGUGUCCCUCUGUGAGUCCAUUAUGCUCAGAAGA